CCGAGAUGUGUGUGCAGAGAGCAGUCUCUUCUGGUUUCCCAGGCUUGUCUGCCUCUCUGAAGGUUUAGCUCUCCCUCCCACGGGAUUUGGCUGCAGAGAACUGUUUAUCCGGUCUGUUUCCUUCAGGUUCCGGCGGUGUCUCAGGCAGGGGUCCUGCCGCUCCUGGGCCCAGAUCAGGAUUUCUUAACUACGCUUCCAGCACCUGCCUGCUACCAUACCCUACCAUGAUAGUCAUGGACUCACCCUAUGAAACUGGAACCAGAAACAAAUUUCAUCUGGAACCUCCAGUGUUCACUCACACCUAUCAUGACCCCCAGAAGAACUGUCUACCAGGCGACACACAGCCAUCACAUUCUUCUAAGAACUAAGGAUGCAGCAGAAAUCAAAGACUAAAACACUGACAGAACAAAGACAAUGACAGAUAUGGGUACCUAGGACUACAGUCUUUCCAAUUCUGGGAGCCUAGAGACCAGUAUAAAAUACAAACAAUAACAGCCAUGACAGUAUGUCUCCACUAGAGCACAGGAACCCUACCACAGCAGGCCCUCUUGAUUAUUCCAAUAAAACUGAGACACAAAUAAAAGCCCUUAAAACAGCCUUUAUGAAUAUCAGGUCCUUAAAGCAGAAAUGAGUAGUUCCCUUAAAGAAAUCCACAGAUAUUAACAGUGGAGGAAAUGAAUAAAACCAUUAAGAUCUGUAAGUGGAAAUAAAAUCAAUAAAGAAAACCCAAACUGAGGGAAAUCAAAAAGUGAAAAAUUUAGGAACUUGAACAGGAAUCACACAGUUAAGCUUCACCAACAGAAUAAAAAAGAUAAAAGAAAGAGUUACAGGAACUGAAGACACAAUAGAAGAAAUUGAUACAUCAGUCAAAGAAAAUGUUAAACCUAAAAUAAUCUCAGCACAAAACACUCAGAAUAUCUGGGACACUAUGAAAAACCCAAAUCUAAGAAUAAUGGAAAUAGAGGAUGGAGAAGAAACACUGGUCAAAGGCACAGAAAAUAUUUUUAACAGAAUCAUAGAAAAAAAAUCCCUAUCUAAAUGACUAUGAAAGUACAAGAAGCAUAGAGAAUACCAAAUAAACUGGAUCAGAAAAGGAAAUCCUGUUAGUGCAUAAUAAUCAAAACACUAAACACAGAGAACAAAGAGGGAGUAUUAAAAGCUGCAAGUGAAAAGAUCAAGUAACAAAUAAAGGCAGGCCCAUUAGAAUCAUACCUGACUUCUCAAUGGAGACUGUAAAUUCACAAGGGUCUAGACAGAUGUUCUCAGACUCUAAAAGACAACAGAUGCCAGGCCAGAGUAUCAUACCCAAAAAACAUUCAAUCACCAUAGAUGGAAAAAAACAUUCCAGGAUAAAACUAAAUGUAAGUAAUAUCUUCCUACAGAAGGUGCUAAAAGGUAAUUUUCAACCUAAAGUGGUUAAUUACAUUGAAAAAAAUCAUAGGGGCUAAAUAAUUUUAGAUCCUCAAAGUCAAAACAAGGGAAUAUCAUGCGUACAUCACCACCACAACUAUCACCAUGCCACUACCAACAUAACAGGAAUCAACAAUCGAUGAUAUACUUCAAUAUCAAUGGUCUCCACGUCUCCACCCCAGUGCCCCCAAAAGACACAGACUAAUAGAGUGGAUGCAAAAACAGGAUUCAUUUUUCUGCUGAAUCCAAGAAACACGCUUUACCACAUAAGAUAGAUAUUUCUAGCAGAUGUGCCUGAGGAACAAUCUGACCAAAUAGGCCUCAAACCAAAAAUAAUUAGAAGAGAUAAGGAUAGACUUUACAGACUCAGCAAAGGGAAAAUCCACCAAAAUGACAUUUUAAUUAUUAUCAUCUAUGCCCCGAACAGCAGGGAACCAAGUUUGUAAAAGAAAUACUACUAGAGCUUAAAUCACAUAGUGACACCCAGACACUGAUAGAGGAAGAUCUCAAUACCUUAUUCUCAC
ensembl:lncRNA